rnacentral:rRNA from 1 species
UGGGGGAUAUUGCACAAUGGGCGAAAGCCUGAUGCAGCGACGCCGCGUGGGGGAUGAAGGCCUUCGGGUUGUAAACUUCUUUUGCUCUGAACAAGGCAUGCCUUUGGGGUGUGUUGAGUGUAGGGGUUGAUUAGCGCCGGCUAACUACGUGCCAGCAGCCGCGGUAAUACGUAGGGCGCGAGCGUUGUCCGGAAUUAUUGGGCGUAAAGGGCUUGUAGGUGGCUGGUUGCGUCUGUCGUGAAAGCUCAUGGCUUAACUGUGGGUUUGCGGUGGGUACGGGCUGGCUUGAGUGCAGUAGGGGAGGCUGGAAUUCCUGGUGUAGCGGUGGAAUGCGCAGAUCUCAGGAGGAAUACCGGUGGCGAAGGCGGGUCUCUGGGCUGUUACUGCCGCUGAGGCGCGAAAGCGUGGGGAGCGAACAGG